UGGGCGAUCACCUCCCAGCAGAGCAGAAGCCAGACAAAAGGCUUCCCCCUUCCUGAGUGACUGCUCUACACUGGUCUGUUUGGUAAGGGAUCUAUUCUACUGCGAGAGAAGAACCUGUCUACUUUCACAUUGACAGAUCUAGCAAAUGGGCUAAUUUUCUACCAGUGCUAUUUGAACUUUACACAAUUACCUAUUUUAAAUUUUAG
rnacentral:lncRNA from 1 species